AAUUGCAUUUAAAUAUUUUCAUUGUUAAAAUGCCCGAUUGCAACUGAGGUUUGGCAGUGGGCCAGGAUGCGGCAUGGGCAGUCAACGAUGGAACUGCUCAUUGACGCGCUUUUUCAAUCUCUUGUUCCUAGAUGGCCUAGCUAUGGUCUUACUAUUUUAUGGACUAUCUGGUUUUAUCGCAAUAUUUUUCUUUGGCAGAAUGUAUCAGCGGCUGCUAUAAGCAUACUACGAUUUGUUGAUUUGUUUUUGCAGAGCUGGCAGCAGGCUGGACGAGUUUUCGAGGUAGUGCAGGCCUUCUCGGAGCGACUGAUGGUGAGCAGUAUUGCUUGGCUUCAGCCACUGACGAGGUUUCUAAACUGCAACGUGGAUGCGGCCUGAUUUGAGGAUAAGGUGGCCACUAUUUCCGUAGCUGUCUUGCGGGAUUCGAACGCAUGGAUGAAUUGGAGAGAGAGAGAGAGAAUCGAGAGGGGAGGAAGAAGAGGCCAAGAGAAAAGAGCCAAGGCAAAAAGAUCUGGAACCAAUGCUGGUGCCUUUUUCUUUAAUUACUUUUGUAAUUUGCAGAUAGUUUUCAACUUUGUUGUUUUUGUUGUUGUUUAUGAAUUUCAAACACUUCCAUUGGUUUUAGCUUCAGUUAAAUACAAAGUGAGCUGAACUUGUGA